rnacentral:snRNA from 1 species
AAUUUUUAUAAAUAACUUAUAACGAACAUGGUUCUUGCCUUUUACCAGAGCCAUCCGGGUAUUGUCUCCGUUUGUCCCUUCACCUUUUAUGAAUGUCCCAUUCUCAAUUUUUGGAACUUUUCAACUUCAAUUAUUAUUGGAGU